rnacentral:rRNA from 1 species
AGAGUUUGAUCAUUGCUCAGAUUGAACGCUGGCGGCAGGCCUAACACAUGCAAGUCGAACGGUAACAGGAAGAAGCUUGCUUCUUUGCUGACGAGUGGCGGACGGGUGAGUAAUGUCUGGGAAACUGCCUGAUGGAGGGGGAUAACUACUGGAAACGGUAGCUAAUACCGCAUAACGUCGCAAGACCAAAGAGGGGGACCUUCGGGCCUCUUGCCAUCGGAUGUGCCCAGAUGGGAUUAGCUUGUUGGUGGGGUAACGGCUCACCAAGGCGACGAUCCCUAGCUGGUCUGAGAGGAUGACCAGCCACACUGGAACUGAGACACGGUCCAGACUCCUACGGGAGGCAGCAGUGGGGAAUAUUGCACAAUGGGCGCAAGCCUGAUGCAGCCAUGCCGCGUGUAUGAAGAAGGCCUUCGGGUUGUAAAGUACUUUCAGCGGGGAGGAAGGGAGUAAAGUUAAUACCUUUGCUCAUUGACGUUACCCGCAGAAGAAGCACCGGCUAACUCCGUGCCAGCAGCCGCGGUAAUACGGAGGGUGCAAGCGUUAAUCGGAAUUACUGGGCGUAAAGCGCACGCAGGCGGUUUGUUAAGUCAGAUGUGAAAUCCCCGGGCUCAACCUGGGAACUGCAUCUGAUACUGGCAAGCUUGAGUCUCGUAGAGGGGGGUAGAAUUCCAGGUGUAGCGGUGAAAUGCGUAGAGAUCUGGAGGAAUACCGGUGGCGAAGGCGGCCCCCUGGACGAAGACUGACGCUCAGGUGCGAAAGCGUGGGGAGCAAACAGGAUUAGAUACCCUGGUAGUCCACGCCGUAAACGAUGUCGACUUGGAGGUUGUGCCCUUGAGGCGUGGCUUCCGGAGCUAACGCGUUAAGUCGACCGCCUGGGGAGUACGGCCGCAAGGUUAAAACUCAAAUGAAUUGACGGGGGCCCGCACAAGCGGUGGAGCAUGUGGUUUAAUUCGAUGCAACGCGAAGAACCUUACCUGGUCUUGACAUCCACGGAAGUUUUCAGAGAUGAGAAUGUGCCUUCGGGAACCGUGAGACAGGUGCUGCAUGGCUGUCGUCAGCUCGUGUUGUGAAAUGUUGGGUUAAGUCCCGCAACGAGCGCAACCCUUAUCCUUUGUUGCCAGCGGUCCGGCCGGGAACUCAAAGGAGACUGCCAGUGAUAAACUGGAGGAAGGUGGGGAUGACGUCAAGUCAUCAUGGCCCUUACGACCAGGGCUACACACGUGCUACAAUGGCGCAUACAAAGAGAAGCGACCUCGCGAGAGCAAGCGGACCUCAUAAAGUGCGUCGUAGUCCGGAUUGGAGUCUGCAACUCGACUCCAUGAAGUCGGAAUCGCUAGUAAUCGUGGAUCAGAAUGCCACGGUGAAUACGUUCCCGGGCCUUGUACACACCGCCCGUCACACCAUGGGAGUGGGUUGCAAAAGAAGUAGGUAGCUUAACCUUCGGGAGGGCGCUUACCACUUUGUGAUUCAUGACUGGGGUGAAGUCGUAACAAGGUAACCGUAGGGGAACCUGCGGUUG